AGUCGAGCGGUAGCACAGGGAGCUUGCUCCUGGGUGACGAGCGGCGGACGGGUGAGUAAUGUCUGGGAAACUGCCUGAUGGAGGGGGAUAACUACUGGAAACGGUAGCUAAUACCGCAUAACGUCUACGGACCAAAGUGGGGGACCUUCGGGCCUCAUGCCAUCAGAUGUGCCCAGAUGGGAUUAGCUAGUAGGUGGGGUAAUGGCUCACCUAGGCGACGAUCCCUAGCUGGUCUGAGAGGAUGACCAGCCACACUGGAACUGAGACACGGUCCAGACUCCUACGGGAGGCAGCAGUGGGGAAUAUUGCACAAUGGGCGCAAGCCUGAUGCAGCCAUGCCGCGUGUGUGAAGAAGGCCUUCGGGUUGUAAAGCACUUUCAGCGAGGAGGAAGGGUNCNGUGUUAAUAGCACNGUNCAUUGACGUUACUCGCAGAAGAAGCACCGGCUAACUCCGUGCCAGCAGCCGCGGUAAUACGGAGGGUGCAAGCGUUAAUCGGAAUUACUGGGCGUAAAGCGCACGCAGGCGGUUUGUUAAGUCAGAUGUGAAAUCCCCGCGCUUAACGUGGGAACUGCAUUUGAAACUGGCAAGCUAGAGUCUUGUAGAGGGGGGUAGAAUUCCAGGUGUAGCGGUGAAAUGCGUAGAGAUCUGGAGGA
rnacentral:rRNA from 1 species